rnacentral:rRNA from 1 species
UCUCACCACCCCACCCUGAACACACCCAAUCUAAUCUGAUCUUGGAAACUAAGGAGGGUUGGGCCUGCUUAGUAGAUGGAUGGGAGACUUCUUGGGAAUGCUGGCUAUUGUAAGCU